rnacentral:lncRNA from 1 species
AAAAUUUAACUUUGAUCUUUAUAAUAAAUAUUACAUUUUAGUCUUAAAAAAUCAUUAUGUUAACUAAUUUUGUUGAUUAUGUUAAUUUUUGAUUUUAAAUAUUUCUUUUUAUUAAUAGGAGGACAAAAUGCCAAAAAAAAUGAAAAACUACACCAAGAUCAAUUGGGAAAGAAAACAUCCAAUAAAUCACUUUCAAAGAAGUGACUAACAAAGGGAGGACAUACAUCAAAGAGACGAAAUUCUUCUCGAAGCUCAAUAUCAUUCUUUGCCGGCGCAUCCCCACACGAGUUGACUUCCCUCUAGACAUGCUUGAAGGUGAGAAAAACAAGAAAGGGGGGGUUUGAAUUGUUUGGAAAAUAAGCGCUUUUUCAAAAUGAAAAUCACACAAGGAUUUUUAUACUGGUUCACUUAUAACACAAAGCUACUCCAGUUCACCCGGCCAAGGUGAUUUCGCCUUCAACAAGGACUUAAUCCACUAAUCUUGAAAGAUUGUUUACAAACAACAUCUAAGAGAAAGAUCUCUUAGUCCUCUCAAGUCUACAGACUACACAGAGUCACUUGAGGAAAAUAAAACAAUAGAUGAAAGCUUAUGUAAUCUAGAGUGCUUCUAAGAUAAGCAAAUAUUACAACAAUAAGAACAAAGGUGUUUCACGUUUCAAGCAACAGCUUCGUGAAGAUUUAGAGAGCAAGAAUGUUUUCUUGUGCGUUGAUGUUUCAGUAUAAUUUCUGCUUAUUUUCUUGCUUGUAUAUGUUGUAUCCUGAAUGUUGAUUUGCAGUCCUUUAUAUAGAAGAGAAGGAUCCGUUGAAAAAUCAUGGCAG